UAUUUUUACGUGAUCGCCACACAGCCCUUCAGUGAAAAUAUUUUGUAUUCCUGUUCCCCUCUUUUAGCCAAUCAAUUCUUGCCCUUUGCAACCACAUCAUGUCUUCCCGAUAUAGAAUUUCAUCCAUUCUAUCCAUGACCUGCCUCAUCUCCGUCCUUUUGUCUUCCAUGUAAUUUAGUUGGAAGUGUUCCAACUUUGUCCUCCAUUCCUCUAAUUCUUUCUUAACUGAACCAAAAUGUUCAGAACUCCACUUCUUCAAUUUGCACAUGACUUUUUGUAGAGAUAGUGAAAUUUCACCAAGAUUACCUCUCCUGCUUGUGCUGAGCCAUGCUUCUUUGAUUACAUCUGGUAGACAUUCUUCUCUUUCC
rnacentral:lncRNA from 1 species